rnacentral:rRNA from 1 species
AGCAGCCGCGGUAAUUCCAGCUCCAAUAGCGUAUAUUAAAGUUGUUGCAGUUAAAAAGCUCGUAGUUGAACUUCGGGGUUUACCCAUUGGUCAGGCUUAAUUGUCUGUACUGGUGAGAUGAAUCUCUACCUUCUGAGGAACUUUCAUGCCAUUUAUUUGGUGUGAUGGGAAAUCAGGACUGUUACUUUGAAAAAAUUAGAGUGUUUAAAGCAGGCUAACGUCUGAAUACAUUAGCAUGGAAUAAUGAAAUAGGACGGAUUGAUUCUAUUUCGUUGGUUUCUAGGAUCACCGUAAUGAUUAAUAGGGAUAGUUGGGGAUACAUUAGCAUGGAAUAAUGAAAUAGGACAUCCGAUUCUAUUUUGUUGGUUUCUAGGAUCGAUGUA